UACCGAGGUUUUCCUCGACAGUUAACUGCAGCCGAAUUUGAAAUUUCUCGGCAGUUAACUACCGAGGGGUAU
rnacentral:pre_miRNA from 1 species